UACGUAGGGGGCAAGCGUUAUCCGGAUUUACUGGGUGUAAAGGGAGCGUAGACGGCGAUGCAAGUCUGAAGUGAAAGGCGGGGGCCCAACCCCCGGACUGCUUUGGAAACUGUGUAACUGGAGUACAGGAGGGGCAGGCGGAAUUCCUGGUGUAGCGGUGAAAUGCGUAGAUAUUAGGAGGAACACCAGUGGCGAAGGCGGCCUGCUGGACGAUGACUGACGUUGAGGCUCGAAAGCGUGGGGAGCAAACAGG
rnacentral:rRNA from 1 species